rnacentral:rRNA from 1 species
AGGACGAACGCUGGCGGCGUGCUUAACACAUGCAAGUCGAGCGGUAAGGCCUUUCGGGGUACACGAGCGGCGAACGGGUGAGUAACACGUGGGUGACCUGCCCUCCACUCUGGGAUAAGCCUUGGAAACGGGGUCUAAUACCGGAUAUGACCUUCCUCCGCAUGGGGGUGGUGGAAAGCGUUUAGUGGUGGGGGAUGGACCCGCGGCCUAUCAGCUUGUUGGUGGGGUAGUGGCCUACCAAGGCGACGACGGGUAGCCGGCCUGAGAGGGCGACCGGCCACACUGGGACUGAGACACGGCCCAGACUCCUACGGGAGGCAGCAGUGGGGAAUAUUGCACAAUGGGCGGAAGCCUGAUGCAGCGACGCCGCGUGAGGGAUGACGGCCUUCGGGUUGUAAACCGUCUUUCACCUACGACGAAGCGAGAGUGACGGUAGUGGGAGAAGAAGCACCGGCCAACUACGUGCCAGCAGCCGC